CAUGUUGAUUGUACUUCAUCAGGUGCUUUGGUCGGUACAGGUUGCCAGGCAUCUGUUGGAGUACAGCUCAUGUG
rnacentral:pre_miRNA from 1 species